AACGAACGCUGGCGGCAGGCUUAGCACAUGCAAGUCGAACGCCCCGCAAGGGGAGUGGCAGACGGGUGAGUAACGCGUGGGAAUCUACCUAGUUCUACGGAACAACAGUUGGAAACGACUGCUAAUACCGGAUACGCCCUUCGGGGGAAAGAUUUAUCGCCGAAAGAUCGGCCCGCGUCUGAUUAGCUAGUUGGUGAGGUAAAGGCUCACCAAGGCGACGAUCAGUAGCUGGUCUGAGAGGAUGAUCAGCCACAUUGGGACUGAGACACGGCCCAAACUCCUACGGGAGGCAGCAGUGGGGAAUAUUGGACAAUGGGCGAAAGCCUGAUCCAGCCAUGCCGCGUGAGUGAUGAAGGCCUUAGGGUUGUAAAGCUCUUUUGUCCGGGAAGAUAAUGGCUGUACCGGAAGAAUAAGCCCCGGCUAACUUCGUGCCAGCCGCCGCCGUAACAC
rnacentral:rRNA from 1 species